rnacentral:rRNA from 1 species
UACGAAGGGGGCUAGCGUUGCUCGGAAUCAUUGGGCGUAAAGCGCGUGUAGGCGGCCCGAUAAGUCCGCUGUGAAAGUCCAGGGCUCAACCCUGGAAUGCCGGUGGAUACUGUCGGGCUCGAGUCCGGAAGAGGCGAGUGGAAUUCCUGGUGUAGCGGUGAAAUGCGCAGAUAUCAGGAGGAACACCAAUUGCGAAGGCAGCUCGCUGGGACGUUACUGACGCUGAGACGCGAAAGCGUGGGGAGCAAACAGG